rnacentral:lncRNA from 1 species
UGACCACCGUGUCCUAGCAGAGCCCGUGUGGGAGGUCCUCAUGUGUACGUGAGUGGACCAGCAUCCUCAUUCAGACACACCGCCACAGAGACUUCCAGAAACAACAGGGAAGCUGACUUCUCUGGGGUGACGCACGGGGACUGGCACACCAAGGUCAGCCUCCCUCCCCCACUGUCCCCACCUGGGCCUGCCAGCCACAGGCAGCUCCCUCCGCAUGGUAUAGCCAGGGGCAGGGCGGGACCCACAAGGUUUAGGCUAAUGGCAGGUAGUGGUCAGAAUUUAGACGAGACUCUCAGACUCCUGGGAUCCCAUCCUGCUCCCACCUCCAGACUCCCCCUCCACACCCCUCUGCCAGGUCCUGCCCCACCAGGGUGAGGGCCCUGUUCUAGGGGGCUGCGCGGCUGUUCCUACGAGGCCUGCGCACGGGUAUGAGGGGUCCUUGCUGGAGGUGCAGCCGGCAGUCGGAGCUGUUGGAGGCAGAGCUGCCUGCCGGCCUGGGACGGGCACAGGGACCUCUUCACCAGGGCUCUGAGGAGACGCACGCCCUGGGGCUGCAGAGUGGGACCUGGACAUGCCGUGUGGGCGUGCGUGGGCUGAUCCCGUGCACAGGCUUGCACACAUGUCUGUGCACACAAAGGAAGGGAGGAGGAUGAGGAAGGGUCUUCCCCUCAGCCCUCCCCAGAAACCCACACCCGGUAUGUAUGGGAAGAGGUGUCCUGACCGUGGAAGAAAGGAAGGAAGUUGGCUCCCUGCCCACAGGGAGGGAGGCAGGUACAUGAGGUUGGAUGUGACCACUGUGGAGACAGGCAGCACCCUGCCUCCACAAGGCAUCUCACCCUCCACCCACCCUGGUCACUGCGAGCAAACAUGGCUGAGCGAGGCCAGGUGGGAGGCGACGCUGAUUAAUUCUG